GCAUAGCUCAGUUGGUUAGAGUGCGGUGCUAAGAAUGCCAAGGUCACAUGUUUGAUCCCCGUAUGGAUAACUGCA